rnacentral:rRNA from 1 species
GACGCUCAUGCACGAAAGCGCGGGGAGCAAACAGGAUUAGAUACCCUGGUAGUCCACGCCCUAAACGAUGUCAACUGGUUGUNGGGAGGGUUUCUUNUCAGUAANGUAGCUAACGCNUGAAGUUGACCGCCUGGGGAGUACGGCCGCAAGGUUGAAACUCAAAGGAAUUGACGGGGACCCNCNCNNNCNNNNGAUGAUGUGGUUUAAUUNGACGCAACGCGAAAAACCUUACCUACCCUUGACAUGUCNGGAAUUUUGCAGAGAUGUGAAAGUGCUCGAAAGAGAACCAGAACACAGGUGCUGCAUGGCCGUCGUCAGCUCGUGUCGUGAGAUGUUGGGUUAAGUCCCGCAACGAGCGCAACCCUUGUCAUUAGNUGCUACGAAAGGGCACUCUAAUGAGACUGCCGGUGACAAACCGGAGGAAGGUGGGGANGACGUCAGGUCCNCNNGGCCCUUAUGGGUAGGGCUACACACGUCAUACAAUGGCCGGUACAGAGGGCUGCCAACCCGCGAGGGGGAGCCAAUCCCAGAAAACCGGUNGUAGUCCGGAUCGCAGUCUGCAACUNGANUGCGNGAAGUCGGAAUCGCUAGUAAUCGCGGAUCAGCUUGCCGCGGUGAAUACGUUCCCGGGCCUUGUACACNCCGCCCGUCAUCUUGCNGAAAAAC